AAUUNCNNGACUUUCUGGUUGGAUACCGUCACUGCGUGAACAGUUACUCUCACGCACGUUCUUCUCCAACAACAGAGCUUUACGAGCCGAAACCCUUCUUCACUCACGCGGUGUUGCUCCAUCAGGCUUGCGCCCAUUGUGGAAGAUUCCCUACUGCUGCCUCCCGUAGGAGUAGGGGGAAUCUUCCACAAUGGGCGCAAGCCUGAUGGAGCAACACCGCGUGAGUGAAGAAGGGUUUCGGCUCGUAAAGCUCUGUUGUUGGAGAAGAACGUGCGUGAGAGUAACUGUUCACGCANAGACGGUAUCCAACCAGAAAGUCACGGCUAACUACGUGCCAGCAGCCGCGGUAAUACA
rnacentral:rRNA from 1 species